AGUGAACGCUGGCGGUAGGCCUAACACAUGCAAGUCGAACGGCAGCACAGAGGAGCUUGCUCCUUGGGUGGCGAGUGGCGGACGGGUGAGGAAUACAUCGGAAUCUACUCUGUCGUGGGGGAUAACGUAGGGAAACUUACGCUAAUACCGCAUACGACCUACGGGUGAAAGCAGGGGACCUUCGGGCCUUGCGCGAUUGAAUGAGCCGAUGUCGGAUUAGCUAGUUGGCGGGGUAAAGGCCCACCAAGGCGACGAUCCGUAGCUGGUCUGGGAGGAUGAUCAGCCACACUGGAACUGAGACACGGUCCCGACUCCUACGGGGGGCAGCAGUGGGGAAUAUUGGACAAUGGGCGCAAGCCUGCUCCAGCCAUACCGCGUGGGUGAAGAAGGCCUUCGGGUUGUAAAGCCCUUUUGUUGGGAAAGAAAUCCAGCUGGCUAAUACCCGGUUGGGAUGACGGUACCCAAAGAAUAAGCACCGGCUAACUUCGUGCCAGCAGCCGCGGUAA
rnacentral:rRNA from 1 species